rnacentral:rRNA from 1 species
AACGAACGCUGGCGGCAUGCCUAACACAUGCAAGUCGAACGAGACCUUCGGGUCUAGUGGCGCACGGGUGCGUAACGCGUGGGAACCUGCCCUUAGGUUCGGAAUAACUCCCCGAAAGGGGUGCUAAUACCGGAUAAUGUCUUCGGACCAAAGAUUUAUCGCCUUUGGAUGUGCCCGCGUUGGAUUAGCUAGUUGGUAGGGUAAAAGCCUACCAAGGCGACGAUCCAUAGCUGGUCUGAGAGGAUGAUCAGCCACACUGGGACUGAGACACGGCGCAGACUCCUACGGGAGGCAGCAGUGGGGAAUAUUGGACAAUGGGCGAAAGCCUGAGCCAGCAAUGCCGCGUGAGUGAUGAAGGCCUUAGGGUUGUAAAGCUCUGUUAACCGGGAUGAUAAUGACAGUACCGGGAGAAUAAGCUCCGGCUAACUCCGUG